CACACACACACACACACACACACACACUGUGUGACAGAAACCCAGUAAACGUUGUCAUGGAUUCUGGCCUGAGGCACAAAUGUCAUGAUGUCAAUCAUCCGUUCAUCUCAUGCAUGUCUGCUGAGGAGGACGACGACUUAUUCUCAAGGUUGAUGAUCUUCAUUUAACGGCAAAUCGUGCAAGAAGAUCAGCCUGUGUGUGUGUCUGCCUCCCCCCCGGCCCUCCCUCCCUCCCUCCCUCCCUCCCUCCCUCCCUCCCUCACCUCCCCCGGCCACCUGCAGGCUCUUCGUAUCAUCCUCCACAGCCUGGACCAGCGGGCGGGCGUGUACCAGCGGUACAUCCAGCCGCUGCUGUGCGUCAGCGUGGACUUCUACAUCCGCGUCUUUGUGCGCGUCUUCACAGGACAGGCCACAGUCAAGAACUCAUGCAGUAAGCAGGCUCUGGUUUACAACUGCGUGGGCUGCGGCUCGUUCCACCUGCAGAGGAUGGGACGGAGGACGAGCAACGGCAAGAAGUAAGGCUUCUCCCUUCUAG
ensembl:lncRNA